CUCAGCAGAAAUCAGGAAAGCUGAGGCACUGUGAAUCUAGAUUUCCAUUUGUCUGCUACAGCGUCCCUCCACCUCCACCAGUAAUGAGACAGGUGGUAAAGCUGAGGAUCGAGCCAGACGACCCCUCUGUGGAUCUGAAUGACCCUGCUGUGAAAGCAAACAUCCUAAAAAAGCUCCAGGACAGGCUGAAGGAGAAAGGAAUGAGUGGAGUCACCCUGAAGUGGAGAGAGCAGCCAGAUGGGAAAGUCUUCCACAAGGAGAAAAAAAGAAAAGGAAGAAAACUGAGCUCUGAAACUAAAGUCCAACUUUACUUCUGUUUAUCUGACACCUUUGGUGAAUGGGGAUUCUCUGUAGUACACUUUUGUAGCAGCUGUGUGAAAUAUUUUAAUGGAAUGUAAUGAUGUUGAGCACGGGCAGAGCCGGAGGUUGUAAACAUCUGGGGCUCAACCAAAACCUAGGGGGGCCCAGGGGCAUGCCACCAUAGGAGACUUUUCCCUCAUUGAUGGUAGCCAUGUGCACUAUUUUUCAAGCUGUUUGUGAUAAUAGAAUACCUUAAAAUCUGUACAUUAUUUGGAAAAAAAUCCACGAAAUUAAAAACAAAACAAAAAAACAUGAUAGUUGCCAAGGACAAAAAUCAUUUCAUCAUUCUCAAACUAUAACACAACAAAUGUAAAUGACUCAUUUUCCUUCAUGCCAUCUAAAAAGAGGCAAAAUUGUCUGAUGUUACUAUUUUUCAGUUACAUAACAUAGGUAGGGUAGGACUUUACCAAUCUUGAAACCUGUUUUUGUUAAACUAUGCUGGAAUAAAGUUCACAGAAUUAAUGUUUAGCUGACAAAUCUGCUAAAUUUGAAUCCAUGCCAUAAUAAUUUGGGCUGCUCUGCUGCUUGUUUCCAAUUGUGUGACUCUUAUGUGUGACACUCAAAACCCAGUCCGAAGGCAGGAAGUGAUAAAUCUACAUACUGUGCGAAUUGAAUAUAGAGGAAAGGCAGGCAGCAGGCCAGAAAAUUGAAACUCAUAUUGGAUGUGAUCCAUAAAAAAAUUGGUACAUUUUUGGUUCCUAAAACACAUUGAGAAUGUUACGGUGCAAUGUUCUGGUAAUGUUUCAGCGGGACGUUUUCUUUCAGUUUCCAGAUUGUUCUCCUUAAAGGUAGGGUAACGUUCUCUACAAACAACCUAAAUAUGUUUGGUGAUAUCUGUCUUAAAAUGUUUUUGAUUAGAACAUUAUGACCUAACAUUCUUAAAAUGUUAUCAGUUGUAGGUUUUUUUAACGUUCCCAGAUUUAUUUUAUCGUAGGCUAACAUGCUUCAAAAACAUUGUACAAAUGUUUGGCGGUACCAUUAUUAAAAUGUUUUUGUAACAUUGUUAAAACAUUAUGCCCUAACAUUUAGAAAACACUUUCAGUAGCAAGCUUUCUUUCCGUACCCAGAAUAUUGUUAUA